rnacentral:lncRNA from 1 species
AGGCGAGACAGAAUCGUGGAGGAAGCAGAGGGCACGUAUCAGCAUCCACGGAGUUAUGGGAGACUUGUAGCUGAAGGCCUACCAAGAUAAGUAGAGCAUUUGUGUCUCUGGGUUUCUGAGUUAAUGAUGCCAGCAGUCUCUGAACUAGCCAAAUUGUGGUGGAUUUAUUAUUUACAUUACAACUCCAUUUAAAAAUGAAAACAUAUGCCCACAUGUUCAGUGCUUCACAAAUACACGCUGUAGAAUUUUAUAUCCAGUAACAGAUGCAAUUUCCCUAUCAAAUAUAAUUUCUGUUUGUCUUCUGAACUCUGUAUUGUUGUGGAAAUUCCAGUUUAUCAGCUGCACUGGAGCCGAAUGAAGUUUGCUAGGCUGUGGAUUCUGGACAAGAGAACAGGAUCUGCUAGAAAAGCAAGGGAAAUACGAUGGAGGUGCUUGGGGCAGUGCUGAUGCUCAGGCAAACGCUCCUACAGCAGAGUGAGCGCACAGGUCCUCCUGUGCCUGGAUCCUUGGUCCAAGUCUCCUCACGCGGCUCAACUUUACGUCUGUGUCAGAAGAACGUCAAGACCAAUUGCCACUUCUUUUUUUUCUCAGAGUCCUCACCCAACAUAAGGCUUCCAAGAUGACAGAGAACAGGAGGUUGCGAUGACUACUGUUGAGACCAUUGUCAAGGGAAAGUCCUUUUCUUUUGAAGACCACUUGGAUGCUGACAUUUGCUGGAAGUGCCUAGAUUACUGCGAAGGCUUGGCUGGGUUUAUGGUUGACAAAACAUCUUUUGGUGACAUCAGAAGGGACCUACUGGUGUCCGCGUGGGCAGAAGAGAGUAGUACUACUGCUUUGAGAUAGCCAGUUGAAAGCCAGCACCUGCUUCGGUCCACAGGAAGGCAAACUAGCUCCCAUCACACAGGCUAAUGCUUUGUUCUUAGUUGAAAUCUAUACCAAGACUGCUGAGCAUCCUGGAUUCUCCAACUGGGCUGCCACAGGCAGAUUCUGGCUCAGCAUCUCAAUAUGGCAGAGAUCUUCUUCACUGCACAUGUACCCACUGGGAGGACUCAAACCUGGUAUUUCAGAACUCAGGAGAAAAAUUCACACUUUGCAUUUCUCACUGUCACAUGGAGGAGACUGUGACAAGGCCAGCUCUAGUGGCACAGGAUCAUAUGUACAAAUGGAUAUUCUUGAUAAACUUAUAGAAGUGAUGGCACAGACCCAAAGUUCCAAGCACUCCUCACUCUACCCUCAGAAGAUGCAAAGAUGAGUCCAUGCUCCAACUGAUCGCAUCUGGAUUCUAGAGUGUUCUUGAGUGUGUGAAGCUUCAAAGGAAGGAUGUUAAUGUGCUUCGAGGCAGAGGUCAGGAUGUACCUGAAGAAAGGCCUCAUACCAAAAGGUGGAUGUGAUAAGAGACCCAUUAACCAGUAGCAGAGGUCACGUGGCUUGUGUAAAGAGGAGACAUCUGGACCACGCAUGCCCAUUUUAUCACUGGACACCUUUGCAGAGAUUAUGGGGAUGAUCCAGUAACACUGCUUUUGGGUCCUGGCCCAUUGUGGACGCUCAAUUUGGCUAACAGAAGCCACGGACAGAUAAAUCACCAGCAGCCUGGUGCUUUGGCAGACAUAUUUUGGCGUCUCUGGUCAACCUUGUGGAAAAGGGAGUUCGUGCGUGGAGAGAACUUUGGAUGCUGUCAGAAGCAGCCCUCUACGGAUGUCCAGCCAUUCUGAGGCUGUGACCACUUCUAGGCAGAGACUUCUAGAGACUUCUGGCAUAGCUCCUGGAAUUCAGUGGAUUUUCAAGACAUACUUAUAUUUAAUGAAUUAACAAUAAAAGGAGAAGUAAGGACAAAAA